rnacentral:rRNA from 1 species
CCUACGGGUGGCAGCAGUGAGGAAUAUUGGUCAAUGGACGAGAGUCUGAACCAGCCAAGUAGCGUGAAGGAUGACUGCCCUAUGGGUUGUAAACUUCUUUUAUAUGGGAAUAAAAUGUUCCACGUGUGGGAUUUUGUAUGUACCAUAUGAAUAAGGAUCGGCUAACUCCGUGCCAGCAGCCGCGGUAAUACGGAGGAUCCGAUCGUUAUCCGGAUUUAUUGGGUUUAAAGGGAGCGUAGGUGGAUUGUUAAGUCAGUUGUGAAAGUUUGCGGCUCAACCGUAAAAUUGCAGUUGAAACUGGCAGUCUUGAGUACAGUAGAGGUGGGCGGAAUUCGUGGUGUAGCGGUGAAAUGCUUAGAUAUCACGAAGAACUCCGAUUGCGAAGGCAGUUCACUGGACUGCAACUGACACUGAGGCUCGAAAGUGUGGGUAUCAAACAGGAUUAGAUACCUGUGUAGUC